rnacentral:rRNA from 1 species
GACGAACGCUGGCGGCGUGCUUAACACAUGCAAGUCGAGCGGGGGAUACAAGGGAGCUUGCUCCUGAGUAUUCUAGCGGCGGACGGGUGAGUAACGCGUGAGCAACCUUUCUCUCAGUGGGGAAUAACACAGGGAAACUUGUACUAAUACCGCAUAAGCGCACAGUACCGCAUGGUACAGUGUAGAAAAACUCCGGUGGCAUACGAUGGACCCGCGUCUGAUUAGCUAGUUGGUGAGGUAACGGCCCACCAAGGCGACGAUCAGUAGCCGGCCUGAGAGGGUGAACGGCCACAUUGGGACUGAGACACGGCCCAAACUCCUACGGGAGGCAGCAGGUGGGGAAUAUUGCACAAUGGGGGAAACCCUGAUGCAGCGACGCCGCGUGAGUGAAGAAGUAUUUCGGUAUGUAAAGCUCUAUCAGCAGGGAAGAAAAUGACGGUACCUGACUAAGAAGCCCCGGCUAACUACGUG